AUGAAGGAUUCUGCAACCUGGGCAGAUCCUUCUUUCGUGAGGAAGAAGAAGAUAGCCAGGGCGCAGUUGGUGGGCGGGGCAUGGUUUGGCGAGGAGGGUGCACGUGAUCCCGCGGCUAGCUGGCGGGCGGGGCAGUUCCUUUUUCGCUCCGAUGGGCGAGGACCAGGUGGACCAUUUGGGCGGGCGGCGGGCGGUUCCCUUUUUCGUUCGGGCGGGCGGGACCAGGUGGACCACGUGGGCGAGCGGGAGACUGUUUCCUCUUUCGCUCGAGGGGGGACCAGAAAACCCACGCACGCCCCGCACCACGAUCCCACGCCCCGCACCUCCUCCCAACGACGAGAGCAUGGUCGGGAUUCCGCCCGUCGAUCCUCCGCCUUCGCCCAUCCUUCGCCUACGCCGCUGUCCGCCGCCCGUCGAUCCUCCUCCGCUGCCGCCUCCCGCCGAUCCUCCACUCGGCUAUCGCGCGUAGAUCCUCCACUCCGCCAGCGCCCCCUCCCCCCUGACCCCGCCUCCGCCCGCCCCGCCCCGCCUCCUCAGAGGAGGCCGUCAAUGUGGGGAAGGUUCUCAUGGUCGGGGUUGGAGGCAUCAGGUGCGAGCUUCUCAAGACCCUCGCCCUCUCGGGCUUCAGUGACAUCCACAUCGGGCCACCUGCCAAUGUCACAAAGUGUGUCACUUGUGUCAAAGUUACAAACAAAGAUUGACUUGGACACUUGUGUUCAGCAAUCUGUACAGACAGUUUUUAUUUCGGAAGAGUCAUGUUGGACAGUCAAAAGCCCAUUUUUGAAUGGCCUUGAUAACUUGGAUGCUAGAAUACAUGUGAAUCGCCUCUGCCUUGUUGCUGAAGUUCUUUUGGUUGAAAGUGGGACCACUGGAUUUCUCGGACAGCUUCUGAACCCCAACCAGGCACCAAUUGAAUCCUUCCGUUGCAAGUUGAUGAGCCCUUAA
rnacentral:rRNA from 1 species